AGGCCUUCAGAAGCAAUAGAACUGCCAGCUACAGUAGUUCGUGGGACAUCAAAGCCGCGAUUAGCACAGCUUCCUGGCUGUCGCACUCCGCGUAUUUAUGGCGCGUUGCACAUUUAAGUGCUAUUCUCAUAAGACGUUUCAGCUGUCAAAGCGCCAUAUUUGGGCGAUAAAAGUGACUGAAAUUACCAGGGGGUCCUGCGUUCCCAAUCCCAGCAUUGUGCCAAAGCCAACGACAACCAAAAACCACCGAAUUUAUUUCACCAUUUGCGGAACACCUGUGAGCAGCCUGGUGGACAUGCAGUACACAUGGGGUCCAGAGAGAGGGGGCUGCAGCAGACAAGAUGGAUGCCCUCCAACCUGACUUCUGGUUUUGUUCCUUCUCCUUCAAAAUGGCGCAUCGUGUCUGUGUCCUGUGGAAAAUAUGGUAGGUUUGGCCAGGGAGAGCAAUGGCCAGGACAUACAAAGAGAAGGAGCCUGUGACCACAAUGUGUUCCCUGAGCUGAAGGACCCUGAGAGACCACAUCUGGUCCCUGUGAGCAUAGGCUUCCCACAGCUCCUUUCAGGAGCUGGGCUUGAGCCUGAAUCUCCUCUCAUACGGCCACUUGCAGCUUCCCAAGAUAGCUGGGGUCAAGAUUUAGUCAGCCUUCUACAAAUAAAGCAUACCCUGACCCAACCAUAGACGCCUCUGGUUUCAAACAGUUGCAUCAGCCGGCACUGAGCGAGAGAGAGAGAGCGUGCGAGAACGCAAGCUCGAACUGGCACUCAGUGAGAAGGGAGCUGCACGGCAGGAAAACCUUUUUCUAAUUUUCCAAACCCAUGUUAACUUAUCUUUGUCAAAAUUGUGAAGCACUAAUGUGCCCAAAUGAAAGGUCAGAGGUA
rnacentral:lncRNA from 1 species